CCUACGGGAGGCAGCAGUGAGGAAUAUUGGUCAAUGGGCGCGAGCCUGAACCAGCCAAGUAGCGUGAAGGAUGACUGCCCUACGGGUUGUAAACUUCUUUUAUAAAGGAAUAAAGUGAGGCACGUGUGCCCUUUUGUAUGUACUUUAUGAAUCAGGACCGGCUAACUCCGUGCCAGCAGCCGCGGUAAUCCGGAGGAUCCGAGCGUUAUCCGGAUUUAUUGGGUUUAAAGGGAGCGUAGAUGGGUGUUUAAGUCAGUUGUGAAAGUUUGCGGCCCAACCGUAAAAUUGCAAUUGAUACUGGCAGCCUUGAGUACAGUUGAGGUAGGCGGAAUUCGUGGUGUAGCGGUGAAAUGCUUAGAUAUCACGAAGAACUCCGAUUGCGAAGGCAGCCUACUAAACUGCCACUGACAUUGAUGCUCGAAAGUGUGGGUAUCAAACAGGAUUAGAUACCCUUGUAGUC
rnacentral:rRNA from 1 species